rnacentral:misc_RNA from 1 species
UCCUAGCCCCGAUUGCAGCUUUGUUUGAGCUCAUUUCGUAUGUUUCUACGGCGUGGCUUCGCCACGCCGUAGAAACAUACGAAAUAGCGAGUGCGGAAAGCGGGAAAGAGC